UUAUUCAAACCCAUUUCCGUGCCUUUCUUGUUCGUAGAUCAAGAACCCUAAGUCAGCUCCAGGACCUUGCUUUUAUUAAAUCCAGCUUAAACUCUCUCAAAUCCUCUAUCUCGAAUAAAACCCAAUUCAAUUGUGAGGUUAUUUCCCACAAAGCCAUGGACUUACUGCUCAAACUUGACUCUAUUCAGGGCGGUGAUCCUA
rnacentral:misc_RNA from 1 species